AACAGUAAGAGUUUAUGUGCUGUGGGCACCUCAGGAUCCAGCGCAUAGCCUCUUACAGUGCA
rnacentral:pre_miRNA from 1 species